UGCAGUCGAGCGGUAGAGAGGAGCUUGCUUCUCUUGAGAGCGGCGGACGGGUGAGUAAUGCCUAGGAAUCUGCCUAGUGGUGGGGGAUAACGUUCGGAAACGGACGCUAAUACCGCAUACGUCCUACGGGAGAAAGCGGGGGACCUUCGGGCCUCGCGCCAUUAGAUGAGCCUAGGUCGGAUUAGCUAGUUGGUGAGGUAACGGCUCACCAAGGCGACGAUCCGUAACUGGUCUGAGAGGAUGAUCAGUCACACUGGAACUGAGACACGGUCCAGACUCCUACGGGAGGCAGCAGUGGGGAAUAUUGGACAAUGGGCGAAAGCCUGAUCCAGCCAUGCCGCGUGUGUGAAGAAGGUCUUCGGAUUGUAAAGCACUUUAAGUUGGGAGGAAGGGUAGUAACUUAAUACGUUGCUAUUUUGACGUUACCGACAGAAUAAGCACCGGCUAACUCUGUGCCAGCAGCCGCGGUAAUACAGAGGGUGCAAGCGUUAAUCGGAAUUACUGGGCGUAAAGCGCGCGUAGGUGGUUUGUUA
rnacentral:rRNA from 1 species